AAUUAAAACACCUAUUCUAUGAUUUAUAUGAACAUACGACAUUACAAGUUAAACAAACGACAAUAUUUUAAAUCUGUUAACAUCAGUUUGCAUGGAAGAGGAUGCUCGUUAAAUUCAAGCGAGUAAAAAUUGCGGCAAACAAUUAACGAUAGAUGCAUCGUGUGUUCGAUGAUUAAAAUAUCGAAGCGAUUGCGUUCUUUUUUUUUUAAAUUUCAGUCGUUAUUUUAUGCACGCGUGAAAUAUUGCCGAUACUGUGUUACGCAUCUGCUGUGAACUGCAGCAGGCAGUAAAGCCGAUAAACCAAACAUUUGCAGCAAAUGCGUAUACAAAUUAUCAGAUCUGCGCGAGAAGCGAGCCGUGACCUUGGUUUUCUCUGACCCAGUCCGCCUCGUUCAAACCUACCGUCUUAAUGAUAAUCUGUCGAACAGAUCGUUACAUCGAUCUCGUAUACGUAUAACUGGGAUUUCUUUGCUCAGCUGACAAGAGAAACUCCAGUUGGUCAUCAUUUUUGAUCAUAGUCUACAAAUUGAUAAUUAAUAAUCCAUAUAAAAUUGUUUUCAUUUUAAUACAGUGAUAUAAUAAUGCGAUAUUAUGGUGCGACGAUAGGUAAAUGAAAUUAGAAUUAGAUAAUAUAAUUACAUCGCAUGGUUAAUAGACAUAUUAAUUAUUAUACAUUGUUACUAUGAUAUUAAAUAUACUUACGAUUACGAUGUUAUAAUAUAUAAUGAUUAUGUGAUUAAUACAUAGAUAAGGUUGUAAUACCAAUGAGUCGGAUUUUCCGCUAUAUUUAAUUACGUAUUAUUUAUUAACGUAAUGAACAAUGAUCUCUGUUAUAGUUUUAUAGUACGGUUCUCUAAAAUAAAUAAAUAAACUAUGAUAUUAAAUAUACUUACAAUUACAAUGUUAUAAUAUAUAAUGAUUAUGUGAUUAAUACAUAGAUCAAGGUUGUAAUACCAAUGAGUCGGAUUUUCCGCUAUAUUUAAUUACGUAUUAUUUAUUAACGUAUAUGAACAAUGAUCGCUGUUAUAGUUUUAUAAUACGGUUUUCUAAAAUAAAUUGAUUUAUUCCGUU